AUCCGUUAUCAUACCUGUUCAUUCUUACUCGUCGCUCGACUUAUCGUGACUAAAUUCAAAAUGGCCGCAAACGCUAAACUCCGUGAAGAUACUGUCUGUAUAAAUCGUCUUGCCCUCAACACGGUACUUCUCAACAAAAGGCGUGAUGGCAGGUGCAGCCAAGUGACAGCCCAUGGGUCACAGCUCUGGAUUGACAAGCUCACUAGCCAAGCUGAUUAAAGGCUUAAAGGUCACUAAAGAGGGGCAGCUUUUACACAAACACCUGCCUCCGUACUCUGGGUCAGCCAGCCAGCCAGCCAGCCGGGAUGUGCUGUGAUGUAGGACAGGUGGAUUCAUUAAACGCCCAUAAAGACACGUUGGUGACAGCACAGCUGCAUAAACACACUUCACUGAAGAGUUCUUUGAAGAUAAACUCAUCCCAUUAUGUGGCAUGAAGCUCUUCAUUUAUUGUCUUUCUCUCUGGAGCCCUACCACACCUUUGUUCUACCUGGAUGAGUGUAAUCACCCUGUAUUUGUUACUAAGUACCUCUUAAAGCCUAAAACUAUUGAGUUCAUAGAAAAUCCCUGAUGAAAGAUGAGAAUUUGAAACAUGAGAAUUGCAUGGUCAGUACAUCCAUUUUCAAUCAUUCAGAUAUUUUAGGAAUGUGUUUUGAUUUCAAUAUCUCUUGUCUUGGAUGCGUCAGCAUCCUAUGACCUUGGAAAUGCAGAGAAGGGUGAAUAUCCUCUUGUCUUAUUUAGCUUGAAGCCUGUUCUGUUCCCUUAUGGUCACCAUUUCAGUAACAGAUCAUGUUGCCUUGUGGAAGGAUUGUCUCCAUAACAUAUAUGCUGUCAGGGCAUUGCUGACUAUCAUUUUUCUUUGUAAACUUAAACUCAAAUGAAAUUUGAACUGUUAUUUGUUCAUACAGUGUUCAUUCAUCCAUUGCAGAUACUGUUAACGUUACACAUUUAUAGCAAAGAGAAUGUGUAAAUUUUUUGUGGGUUUGUUUGUAAAAAAAUGUAAAACUGUGUACAGAUCACUAUCAUUCUCAGAAGGGGUAUUUUAAGUAUCAACUUUUUAAGGCUUUGAUUAAAAUUAAUUUAAUUUUAGUUCAAAAAGCAGUCCAUAUCAUAAACCUGUCUGCCCUUUGUAUUGUAGUUGAAGUCUUAUUUCGAUAUUUCUUGUCCUGAAAAAAAUCUACCUGGAUGAUGAUUUAGAUUUCCUUCCUCGUUUUUUCUGAAAUUCGAAUGAAAUCAUUUGUAUUGUGUCCUUUACCACAAUACUUAUUCAUUAUUUUACUGCAUACAUCAGUCAAGUGGUUAUCAAAUGGUAAAAAACAGUCGCAGAGUCACAAAGCACACGUUGUAGGGCUAUGAGAUGUGUGAGGUUGUAUUGAUGUAUUGCCUGUAUUGCAUUGCUUACCCAUUAAAAACCCUAGACAAAUUGAUGGUUGUAGGAUGUCCAAUGUUCUUCUUUGCAAACCACUGUAUUUAGCAUAGGCAGGAAGUAAGGCCUGCAGCUAGC